UACGAAGGGGGCUAGCGUUGUUCGGAAUUACUGGGCGUAAAGCGCACGUAGGCGGAUCGAUCAGUCAGGGGUGAAAUCCCAGGGCUCAACCCUGGAACUGCCUUUGAUACUGCAAGUCUUGAGUCCGGAAGAGGUGAGUGGAAUUCCUAGUGUAGAGGUGAAAUUCGUAGAUAUUAGGAAGAACACCAGUGGCGAAGGCGGCUCACUGGUCCGGUACUGACGCUGAGGUGCGAAAGCGUGGGGAGCAAACAGG
rnacentral:rRNA from 1 species